GUGGAGCUUGCUCCAUGAUUCAGCGGCGGACGGGUGAGUAAUGCCUAGGAAUCUGCCUGGUAGUGGGGGACAACGUUUCGAAAGGAACGCUAAUACCGCAUACGUCCUACGGGAGAAAGCAGGGGACCUUCGGGCCUUGCGCUAUCAGAUGAGCCUAGGUCGGAUUAGCUAGUUGGUGGGGUAAAGGCCUACCAAGGCGACGAUCCGUAACUGGUCUGAGAGGAUGAUCAGUCACACUGGAACUGAGACACGGUCCAGACUCCUACGGGAGGCAGCAGUGGGGAAUAUUGGACAAUGGGCGAAAGCCUGAUCCAGCCAUGCCGCGUGUGUGAAGAAGGUCUUCGGAUUGUAAAGCACUUUAAGUUGGGAGGAAGGGCAGUAAGUUAAUACCUUGCUGUUUUGACGUUACCAACAGAAUAAGCACCGGCUAACUUCGUGCCAGCAGCCGCGGUAAUACGAAGGGUGCAAGCGUUAAUCGGAAUUACUGGGCGUAAAGCGCGCGUAGGUGGUUUGGUAAGAUGGAUGUGAAAUCCCCGGGCUCAACCUGGGAACUGCAUCCAUAACUGCCUGACUAGAGUACGGUAGAGGGUGGUGGAAUUUCCUGUGUAGCGGUGAAAUGCGUAGAUAUAGGAAGGAACACCAGUGGCGAAGGCGACCACCUGGACUGAUACUGACACUGAGGUGCGAAAGCGUGGGGAGCAAACAGGAUU
rnacentral:rRNA from 1 species